UUCAGUAUGUCCGAGUCAGACUCGAAAUCUCACCCUCGCAGGUUCGAAUCCUGCUGCUGAUA
rfam:Selaginella moellendorffii unplaced genomic scaffold SELMOscaffold_69, whole genome shotgun sequence.